CUUGAGCCAACUACUGCUGCUGCCGCUGCACUCAAGCUAGCAGCAGCAAAGGCAAAGAAGGAUAGUAGGUCGAACAACAUGAAGUGGCAGCCGUUCAUGUCCAUGUUCGUGUUGAACAAGAUGUGUGAGCUCAUCUCUAGUGGAGUUAGGACUGACAAGGGCUUCAAGGAGGUGCACUUGAACACCGUUGCAAAGCAGGUGUUCGAGUUCUGUGGGCAACAGGUGUCUGCCACCCAGGUGUACAACCACCUGAGGAAGUGGAGAAGUCGAUGGAUCCAAGUGUCCAAGCUGAGAGACCUUAGUGGCGCCUCAUGGAAUGAGAACACUUGCUCCAUAGUUCUGGAGGCAGAGCACUACGCCGGCCAUGUCGCGGACCACCCAAGGGACGCUGAGUUCCUCAACACACCCAUCCAGAACUACAACCAGAUGCAGCACAUCUUCUCCUUCGAGCUGGCAACUGGGAAGCAUGCCAUGGGCUCGGGGGAGCCUCUUGGUUCUCCCAUGCCUGACUUCCCUGGGACCCCGGACGUCGAGAUCCUUGAUGGCCCUGACAAGCCCGCUGAGAAGCCCUUCGACAAGCCAUUUGACCCCGUUGAUAGGAAGAGGAAGAGAGGAGGCCUGAUGGAGGAGGAGAUCAAUGUCUUCUGCAGCAUGACUGAGGCGGUGAAGGAGGUGGCAACAACCAUCAGGGAGUGCAAGCCCCUCGACGCCCACCCUGACCUGUAUGGCGCUGUCAUGACCCAGGGUGGCUUCAGUGACGAGGCUUUCAUGGCAGUUCUCAGCCACCUGCUUGACAACAAGGCAUGUUGGGUUCGUUGCCAUGGCCGACGCUCACAGAGUGCUGUGGCUCAGGAGCUGGCUGGGCAAGCACUACUACUA
rnacentral:rRNA from 1 species